rnacentral:rRNA from 1 species
GAAAAUUACAAGCAUAAGCUUAAAACUCAAAGGACUUGGCGGCGCUUUAAACCCAUCUAGAGGAGCCUGUCCUAUAACCGAUAACCCCCGUUAAACCUCACCCUUUUUUGCUUCCAGUCUAUAUACCGCCGUCGUCAGCUUACCCUGUAAAGGCUUACCAGUAAACAAAAAUGGUUCAACCCAAAACGUCAGGUCAAGGUGUAGCUUAUAAAAGGGGAAGAGAUGGGCUACAUUUCCUAUUAAGGGUAACUUACGAAUUAUAUACUGAAAUACAAAUAUUGAAGAAGGAUUUAGCAGUAAGUAAAAAAUAGAGUGUUUU